rnacentral:pre_miRNA from 1 species
AGGGGCUGGAUCUUGGGUUGUGUCCCCCAGAGCCCUGUGCUCCCAGGCCUGUGAUGCUGGAAUCGUGCUCCCGGUCGCGCAGCUCUCU